CAAACCACGGCGUCUUCAAGGGCGAUUGGAUCUGAGGUCUCGUCCCUGUUUCCUCUGUGCUGCCGGCGUCAUGACGGCGACAACACAGCGAACCACACCGACGGGCGCAGAGGAGAGGUAGGAAUCAGCUGCACGGAGUCAGGUUAUUCCUCCUCGAUCUCGCCCUCCUCCCUCUCCUCUGCCAUGAAAAAUCUGACUGCAAGCGAAUCUGCUUCCCUGAGAGGGGAAGGUAUUUAGCGGACACGAGGAUCCCCCACGAACUCAUGCAUGCUCGACCAUGUCUUCGGCCAUGCCCGCCCGGGCUCAAACCCCCCUCCCCCACGAGCUCCUGGUCAACGCGCCGCUCUCUCGAUCCAUUCAGAGUGGCUGCCCCUUCUCUCCUCCGCUCGCCGCUUGGCCGUAGAAAAGAAGUCCCGGCAGCGGACAUGGCCGCCGCCUCUCUACAUUGCCGUCGCCAACCACCAUGGGGGCAGCUUCCGCUACACGCGCCCCGUCCUGCAGAGCGCGCUCCAACUCAUGGGCUGCAAGCCACGCCACGCUUUCAGGGUCCGUCUUCCACCCUCAUCUCACUUAUGUAGCCCGGCUUUCUGAGAUCAAUCUGAAUAAAGAUUAUUUCCCCCCUGAAUAAUGGUUUCGUCUGCAUGAUCUUUCUGAGUUCACUUCUAUACUAAAUUUAGCAUGAUGGUUUGGUCUGCAGGAUCUUUGUCUACUUCAGUUUGUUUGUUCUGGUCAUCCUUACCAUAAUACCAUCUGCAUAUUUAUGUGUUUUGCACCAUGUAUUAUAGAGCGUGAAUAUUAUAUAGGAUCAUGCUAAAUUGCUAACUGGAUGUCUUUGGCAGUCCCCCUUCGGUUAUGGCUCGUGAACUUAAUUACGGUGUGUGAUUUGUUAAGGUGUGCAUGAUUGAUCGACUGCAUGUUCUGUUUUUGCACCGUGGAUCAUGUAGGACGAAUGUCAUUUAGAUACAGGAUCAGCCUUACUGAAACUCUUUGAUAUUCCCGGCUUUUCGGUUUUGACUGAUGAACUCACCACGGUUAAAUUCCAGCUUAUGACAGAAAUGUUGGUAGCCGGGCUACGCUUCAGGAUCACAUGUGAUUUGAUAUUCCUACCAUCUCUGUGCUGUCACCCUGCAUACAACAUCAAGUCUUAUAUCUGAAUCUUUUUUUUUCUGAACAAAACAUGGGCGCACUAGGCACCAUUCAUUUCGAAUCACAUGUUUACAUAACUGCAGUUUUACAUUGGUGAUGACAUAUCCCAUCUGAGCUAUAUGUAUAAUAAUAUGAUUCACGGAAUGAUGCCACUCAUCAUGAACAACAUUGCUGCAGUCUAUUUUAACAUUUUGAUUUGGAUGAAUUCCCUGUGAGUAGGCUAGCUUGGCUGCUUCAUGUGCUUCCCUGUGAUGAUCUCUACUGACAUGAAAAACUUGCGUCGUGUUGAGACGAUAGCGGCACAGAAAUCUGCAAGAACACCCCUAGCUUGGCUAUGUCAACAGUAGUUCCCUGUAUAAUUUCUCCUUUAUCCUGCUUGCAUUGAUCAGAUUUUUUGAAUCCUAAUUUUCCUUGUUCCUUGACUUGUAUUUCCAAAGAUAAACUUUUUUUGAUGGCUUCAGCUGCAGAAAAGACCUGAAUAUGUUCAGGAAUUAAUAUGUUACCUGUUCCUUUUCUAGAUCCAAGGUAUAGUUAGACUGAUCAUGUGUAAAAUGCUCCUGGAUACGACGCAAGUUGUAUCUACAAAAGUCUGUCAGUUUUACUCUAAUAAAUAUUUUUUAGCAAUUAGCGUAGACCGAGAUGAGUUUCUUUCAACACAUUUUAAGCUAUAAUGUCAUAUAUUAGAUGAUAUAUGUGCGUCAACAGAGCAGAGGAUUCAGGUUUAGUCAUCCUCUGCAUUGCAUUUGAUUCAGAUUACUAUAAGAUGAUUUUUAAUAGAUAUUUGGUCUUACACGAGUCACUUUGGAAAUGUUUUUCCUAUAGAUUCAUAGUAGUAUUUUUAUGAACAACCUAUCACUGAUACAUUGCCUUUCAUGUUCAUUCACAUAUGCUUAAUACUUCUGAAUAACGUACGUCAAGAGAACCAAGGAUUCAGGUUUAGUGGAUCCUCUGCACGUUAUUCAGACCACUAUAAUAUGAGUUUUUAAUAGAUAUUUUAUUUUUAUUGCUUUCUUAUAUCGUGUUGUGCCUUAUGUAGUUGGAAUAAUCAUCAUAGAUUUAUACUUCUUGCCUACACUAGGGAACCAAGGAUUCAGAUCUAUACUUUCUUUUUAAUAGAUAUUUUGUUUUUAUUGCUUUCUUUUUAAAUUGACUCAAAAAUUUAUGUCUGCAUUACCUACAAAGGGCACAAUGAUGAAUUUUUACAGAGGAUACUCCUCGUACAGAACAUCCUUACUUCCUAAUCACCUAUCUGAAUGGUGCACAACAUCAAUGCUUUGUUAUUGCUAAGUCCCAUGAUUGUUUUUGUGUGAAGUAAAGAAAGGCUAUGUUCUGUUAACAAGGAUGGAAAGUAUAACAGCAUACAAAAACCACCAUGGACAACCCAGAUCUAGUAAAUUGUUUAGCAUUUUCUAUAUGCAUAAAAUCUUGGUGUGGGUUAAAUUGCUAAACCUUCAAGACUACUAAAUCUUAUGAAGGAACACCAGAACAAUCUGACAUUCCAGUGACUGCUAAUGACAUGUGUUUCCUUGUUGAAUGGCCAUCCCAUGCUCGCCACAACCGUGCGCUACUACAGGAUGAAUCUGGUGGACAGAAGAAGAAAGGGCGAGGUGUUCUAAAAGGUUUUAAAGCACCUAAGAAGCGUUUUUCCAAUGGAUCUGCAAAGCUAAAUAUUACAUUCUUUGAAAAAUUGGGUGGUACAGUAGGAAUGAAUGUUCAUUCAAGGAUGACGUGGUAGUCAUAAUGAAAAGAAAGUUACCACUCAUUGGAGUGAGGACGCGGUCGUACAUUCACCCUACCAUCCACCGACUCAUUGUUGCAGAUAUGAUAAUGGGACCUAGAAGAUACUCCAGAAACAGAAGAAAAAGUUCUCAAAAUUGUGAAAGAGCGAUAUAGAGGCUGGCGAUCAACUCUAAGCUCCACUUACAAGGCAUACAAAACAGAUGCUGCUAGAUUUGUUAAUCUGCCAGAAGACUUACAACCCACUUUCGGUUAAUUAGGAUCCGAAGAACUAGCUCGACUGCACUCUAGAUUACGGACAAUUUAGUCUUCGCAAUUAAUUAGGAUGGCUAAAUUACAUUUGAGUUUCAUUUGAUGGAUAUUUGCUAUGAUAAUUAUGAAUUUUAUGGAUCUACAUAUUAUAUACGUACGGUUUUGAAUAUUGCAA